rnacentral:rRNA from 1 species
CCUACGGGUGGCAGCAGUGGGGAAUAUUGGGCAAUGGGCGCAAGCCUGACCCAGCAACGCCGCGUGAAGGAAGAAGGCUCUCGGGUUGUAAACUUCUUUUGACAGGGAAGAGUAGUAGACGGUACUUGUCGAUUAAGCCAUGGCUAAUUACGGGCCAGCAGCCGCGGGAAUACGUAGGUGGCAAGUGUUGUCCGGAUUUACUGGGUGUAAAGGGCGUGUAGCCGGGUUGACAAGUCAGAUGUGAAAUCCUGCGGCUUAACCGCAGAACUGCAUUUGAAACUGUUGGUCUUGAGUACUGGAGAGGCAGACGGAAUUCGUGGUGUAGCGGUGAAAUGCGUAGAUAUUAGGAGGAACACCAGUGGCGAAGGCAGUCUGCUGGACAGCAACUGACGGUGAGGCGCGAAAGCGUGGGGAGCAAACAGGAUUAGAUACCCUUGUAGUC